CAAAGUGUAGCUUAAUUAAAGCAUUUCGCUUACACCGAAGUAAUAUCUGUUAAACCCAGAUCACUUUGA
rnacentral:tRNA from 1 species